rnacentral:rRNA from 1 species
AUGAACGCUGGCGGCGUGCCUCAUACAUGCAGGUCGAGCGAACGGACGAGAAGCUUGCUUCUCUGAUGUUAGCGGCGGACGGGUGAGUAACACGUGGAUAACCUACCUAUAAGACUGGGAUAACUUCGGGAAACCGGAGCUAAUACCGGAUGAUAUUUUGAACCGCAUGGUUCAAAAGUGAAAGACGGUCUUGCUGUCACUUAUAGAUGGAUCCGCGCUGCAUUAGCUAGUUGGUAAGGUAACGGCUUACCAAGGCAACGAUGCAUAGCCGACCUGAGAGGGUGAUCGGCCACACUGGAACUGAGACACGGUCCAGACUCCUACGGGAGGCAGCAGUAGGGAAUCUUCCGCAAUGGGCGAAAGCCUGACGGAGCAACGCCGCGUGAGUGAUGAAGGUCUUCGGAUCGUAAAACUCUGUUAUUAGGGAAGAACAUAUGUGUAAGUAACUGUGCACAUCUUGACGGUACCUAAUCAGAAAGCCACGGCUAACUACGUG